GACGAACGCUGGCGGCGUGCUUAACACAUGCCAGUCGAACGGAAAGGCCCUGCUUGCAGGGUACUCGAGUGGCGAACGGGUGAGUAACACGUGGGUGAUCUGCCCUGCACUUCGGGAUAAGCCUGGGAAACUGGGUCUAAUACCGGAUAGGAGCCAUUUUUAGUGUGAUGGUUGGAAAGUUUUUUCGGUGUAGGAUGAGCUCGCGGCCUAUCAGCUUGUUGGUGGGGUAAUGGCCUACCAAGGCGGCGACGGGUAGCCGGCCUGAGAGGGUGGACGGCCACAUUGGGACUGAGAUACGGCCCAGACUCCUACGGGAGGCAGCAGUGGGGAAUAUUGCACAAUGGGCGCAAGCCUGAUGCAGCGACGCCGCGUGGGGGAUGACGGCCUUCGGGUUGUAAACUCCGUUCGCUAGGGACGGAGCUUUUUGUGACGGUACCUAGAGAAGAAGCACCGGCUAACUACGUG
rnacentral:rRNA from 1 species